rnacentral:rRNA from 1 species
ACGGGCCAGCAUCGGUUUCGGGCGGCAGACAAAGGCGAGGGGAAGGUGGCAGCUCCGGCUGUGUUAUAGCCCCUCGUUGUAUGUGCCCUCUGGGACCGAGGAAUCCGGCGCUUGCGCCUGGGAUGCUGGCGUAAUGGCUUUAAACGA